AUUGAACGCUGGCGGCAGGCCUAACACAUGCAAGUCGAACGAGUGGCGGACGGGUGAGUAAUGUCUGGGAAACUGCCCGAUGGAGGGGGAUAACUACUGGAAACAGUAGCUAAUACCGCAUACCAUCGGAUGUGCCCAGAUGGGAUUAGCUAGUGGGUGGGGUAACGGCUCACCUAGGCGACGAUCCCUAGCUGGUCUGAGAGGAUGACCAGCCACACUGGAACUGAGAAACGGUCCGGACUCCUACGGGAGGCAGCAGGGGGGAAUAUUGCGCAAUGGGCGCAAGCCUGACGCAGCCAUGCCGCGUGAAUGAAGAAGGCCUUCGGGUUGUAAAGUUCUUUCAGCGAGGAGGCGUUAAUCACAGAAGAAGCACCGGCUAACUCCGUGCCAGCAGCCGCGGUAAUAC
rnacentral:rRNA from 1 species